AAGAGCGCAGGCGGUUUUUUAAGUGUGAUGUGAAAACUUUCGGGUUAACCGGAGAAAUGCAUCGGAAAUUGGGAGACUUGAGUGCAGAAGAGGACAGAGGAACUUCACGUGUAGCGGUGGAAUGUGUAGAUAUAUGGAGGGACACCAGUGGGGAAGGCGGCGGUCUGGUCCGUAACUGACGCUGAGGCUUGAAAGCACGGGUAGCGAACACGAUUAGAUACCCCGGUAGUGUCACGCCGUAAACGAUGAGGAUAAGUCUGUGAGGGUUUCCGCCCUUCAGUGGUGCAGCUAACGCAUAAGCCUCCCGCCUGGGGA
rnacentral:rRNA from 2 species